AGCCGCGCCCACCCUGCCGGGGUCCAUCCAAAGAUGAAACGGGCAGUCUCUCGUGCCAGACCUCCACUCCGGGAGCUCCCCCGGAACGCUUAGAGAAAACCAGGAAUUGAGAAGUGCGCCCUCUCGCCGGCCCCAGGCGCGCGCUCAGGAGACGCCAGCCGACCUGCUCCUCCUCUGCCUCGGCCGGCAGGGCAGCCGGACGCGGUGGAAGCGCGCGAGGCUCCGUCUGCGAGCGCACCCGGAAGCCCGCGGUCGGAGCCUCACCGGCGAUGCGGGCGCACAGCGCGCACCGUGGGCUGCCUGCUGGGAAUCCCUCCCCAGCUGGGGAGAAAGGCAGUUGUUUUCCCCCUGGCGGAACGCUCCACUUGAAACCGUUCCACCAGGGCUGUUCUCGCCUCCGACUCGGGGAAGAACUGUAAUUAACACAGCAACAAACGCCCACGAAGCUAACUGGCAAAGGGAGUGUAACACGAGCCGCUUCUCCAACCGAACUGGGCCAAUUGCUUUCCCUUCUUGCCUCCCCAUUUGGUCUGUUUUGGUUCCGCAGUCAUCCAACUGUGGCGUUUCUUAAAACAUGUCAGUGGCUGGUGUUUGUGUUUGGGGUUGAACAGUUUCACACACGUCGCUGGAGACGGUGCUCGGCCAGCUGCUGUGCUGGGUCUUCGCUUUCUGCGGCUCCGGGAGUGUCAGCUGUCAAGGAACAUAUGCGGAGUGUUCAAGUUUGCAAACAGCCCCACAGUGUUUACUUGCCUAAAAAUGAAGAUCCCAAGAAUCACACAAAGAAGGCAUGGUGGUCCUUCUGCCUGAAAUGUAUCUACAGUCUUCUCGGCUUGGAAAUCUCCUCCUAAUCUCUCAGUGCCUGUUAGUUCAUGCGCCUUCAAUGGCACCAGCUAGAAUUAGCAGCUUUGUCUUCUGUUUCCAUAGCAUGUGGAAACUUCUGUGACACAUUUCCUACAACUCCUCAGAUUUCACAGAACUCAGUGGCAGUCUUCUAAAGCAGCGACCCACUGGAGUAUAUUUCCCAGCAAACACAAUCUAAGAUAUUAAACCCAGACCACUGAUACCAGGAGUAGUCAUAGAAGACAGGUGCUUAGGAUGGGAUUUGGCAACUGGAUCGAUCAGAGACAGCGGAAGGGGACAACAUCUGACUAACACUUCCAAGGUGGCUUCAAAAGGAAAGCAACUUCAGAUCUAGAUUGCACUUGAGAGGAAAAAGGCCAGAAGGAAGUUAGUAUGACUGCCAAAAAAUGUCUAUUGUGAAUCUAUUCAUAAGAGAAAAAAGUCAUAGUAAUCCAAAUUGAGGAACAGUCUGCAAAACAACUGGCCUAGAACCUUCUAUCAGAUAAUGUCAUGAAAGAUGAAAAAGGCUGAAUUUCUACCUGUAAUUUAAGGAACUCCACCUGCUUCCCAGGAUUGCUGUGAGGAUUGAGUGAACAAAUGGAUGAAAACACUCACCCAAGAGUCUGGCAAUCAGUAAAUGCAUUGACAUACAAUAAAUUGAGGCAAUUAUUAUAACCUUAACCUUAAUUUAUGAAGCAGUCUUAUCUGUUGUUUAUAAGGAAAAUAGCUACGUACUAUACAUGAGAAUUCACAACAAAGUUCAAAAUUUUCAUUUCUGGUGAUACAAAGUAUAGAAAGUCUUAUAAAAUAUUCUGCUC